CAAAGGUGAGCCAGUACAGGAUGGACCCGCGUCUGAUUAGCUAGUUGGUAAGGUAACGGCUUACCAAGGCGACGAUCAGUAGCCGACCUGAGAGGGUGAUCGGCCACAUUGGAACUGAGACACGGUCCAAACUCCUACGGGAGGCAGCAGUGGGGAAUAUUGCACAAUGGGCGAAAGCCUGAUGCAGCAACGCCGCGUGAGUGAUGAAGGCCUUCGGGUCGUAAAACUCUGUCCUCAAGGAAGAUAAUGACGGUACUUGAGGAGGAAGCCCCGGCUAACUACGUGCCAGCAGCCGCGGUAAUACGUAGGGGGCUAGCGUUAUCCGGAUUUACUGGGCGUAAAGGGUGCGUAGGCGGUCUUUCAAGUCAGGAGUGAAAGGCUACGGCUCAACCGUAGUAAGCUCUUGAAACUGGGAGACUUGAGUGCAGGAGAGGAGAGUGGAAUUCCUAGUGUAGCGGUGAAAUGCGUAGAUAUUAGGAGGAACACCAGUUGCGAAGGCGGCUCUCUGGACUGUAACUGACGCUGAGGCACGAAAGCGUGGGGAGCAAACAGGAUUAGAUACCCUGGUAGUCCACGCU
rnacentral:rRNA from 1 species